CAAACUUUGACAGCAAACUUACCUAUAGUGGUGAUGACUGUAAUUGCAAAGUAAAAUGAGCCUGCAAAUUUCCACUGGACCCCGGCUCUGUGGGGCUCGGCCUCCAUAAUAAUAGUCUCCAGUUUGCUGUAGUCUUCAUCGCUUAUGUUGUAUUUCCCUUGUAAUCGCUUUUCCUCGGCCUCAAGCUGCUCUUUCUCCCGCAUUUCGAAAUCCGAUUCCAGAGCAUCGAACACCGCCGCCCCGACCAGGAGAUAGGUGAACGUGCAGAUAAUCAGGGACAGGGUCCGCACGUUCUGCCGCUUCAUGGCCACCAGGAACCGGUGAGUGAGGGGUUCAUGUCCCCUCGGAUUGUCCAAGAAGGCGCAGCAGUUAGGAAAGCUCUGGCAGCGAUUGGAACCAGGGGGGCAGGUAUUGUGGUUUUGGUGAUGAUGGGUACGAUGAAUGCCGGAGCAAUGGGGACGGUUAAGGUCCCUGUAACAGGUUCCCGUAUCCUGUUCUUGGUUAGAAGAGAGACACAAGAGACUGCUCGAUCGCCGGGACCAGGUGCCCUGCAGCCGAGAGACUCUGCGCAAGACCUGCCCAAACCAAGUCCUCUCGUUGUUUCAGCUUUUACCAGCGGCAUCCCCCGGAGUUUGUAAGACAAAUCAGGUCCAGGAGAAAGAAGACGUGGCAGGAAGUGUCAUUGUAGGCUACAUCUUUUUCGAAGUUUCUGGCAAAAUCUGCUAGACCCCCACCAGUCAGGCUUCAGACCUGGCCACUUGACAGAGACCGCACCCCUCUCCGUCAGUGAAUCAUUUCUUGCGACAGGAGCCACCUCCCUCUCCUUUGUCCUGAUUCUUCUAGACCUCUCUGCUGCCUUCAACACUGGAUCACUCCAUCCUCCUGUCCUCCCUGUCAGCAACAGGGAUCAAUGGGUCGCUCCUUCCAGGUUGCAUGGGCUGGUACAGUAUCGAUACCUCGGCCCAAUGUCUCAGGAGUUCCCCAGGGCUCAGUCCUUGGCCCACUUCUUCUCUUCCUUCAGACUAAAUCCCUUGGCCCUGUUAUUACUGCUCAUCGUUUGUCUUACCACUGCUAUACUGAUGAUGAUGACUGAUGACAACUCUUUUUCUCCUUCUCACAAUCUGACACACAGGUUUCAGCCCAUAUCUCUGCUUGCCUUGAGUGACAUCUAGAGCUAGAUGGACAACCACCAUCUUGAGCUCAAUCCAGAUAAGACAGAAAUCACCUUCAUUCCUGCUCCCCUUCUUGAUUUCUCCAUUUCCUUAGGGGACAUCUUGGUGACGCAAACGCCCUGUGCAAGGAACCUCGGAGUGGUGAAGAACAACAAACUGUCCCUCUCCUCAAACAUCACGGCGGUGACCUGGUCAUUAAGAUUCUUCCUAUAAAACAUCUGGAGAAUCUGUUCCUGUCUCACCUCAUACUCGACCCAGCUCCUGGUCCAAACAAUGGUUUUGUCCCACCUGGACUACUGCAACUCUCUCUUGGCUGGCCUUCCAGGAUCUGCAAUCAGACCUCUCCAACUCAUCCAGAAUGCAGCAGCUUGUCUGGUUUCAACCUUUCCAGACACCCCUACACCCCCAUUUUCACUUCCCUCCAUUCAUGGCUCACAUCAAAUUCAAAACCCACGUCAACACAUCAAGCUGCACCA